UACCAGGCUCCUCCGUCCCUGGGAUUUUCCAGGCAAGAGUACUGGAGUGGGGCGCCAUUGCCUUCUCCGACUAGUCAUUCUGCUAAUCCUCAAAAACAAAUCUAAAAGUCUGUUAAAUCUAUCUUUUGGGGGAAAAUGGGCUGAGGUUUGCGGAGCUCCAGGACAUUGUAUGUCACUCAGUCAUAGCCAACUGUUUGCAGCCCCAUGGACUGUAGCCUGCCAGGCUAGUCUGUCCAUGGGAUUUUCCAGGCAAGAAUUCUGGAGUGGUUGCCACUUCCUACUCCAGGGGAUCUUCCUUACCCAGAGAUUGAACCUGUGUCUCCUGCAUCUGUUGCGUUGGCAGAUGGAUUCUUUACCACUAGAGCCACCUGGGAAGGCCCUCCAGGACAUUAACUUGUCCUUGGACUCAAACUGAACUGCAUCACCAGCUCUUCUGGGUCUUCAGCUUGCAGGUGGCAGAUCAUGGGGCUUCUCAACCGCCAUAAUCAUGCUGCUCCAGUGAUCCAGCCCAGCCUGAAGCCAGUGGGCACAGGAGCACACAUCCGCCUCAUGAGGAGAAGUGUGGAAAGCGGAUGAAUGGAAGACACCUCUGCAACAGACCCCAAGGAAGAAUACAUUCUGCCAAUUAAACUAUGAGCCACUGUUCCCUUGGCACUUGAAAUUUUUGUAUUAUACCUACUGAAAGAGCUCUGUUAGACAUAUAAAAGGAAUUUGUUUUUAUCAUGUAGUACUUUUCUGGAUUUAAGGUAACUUCACAUUUCAAUACUAAACAAAAGUAUAAUUUUUUGGAAAACAUUUUGUGGCAAAUAUUUUUUCCCCAAAGGUGAUCACGAUAGCAGUUCUUGCCCAACAUGUGCUUCCGGCACUUCACGACUGCCACACUAAGAAGGGAACUCUAGUUUCUCCUCGCUUGAAUCUAGGCUCUUUUGUGACUUGCUUGUAACCGAUAGACACCAUCUGAGGUGGUGCCUCAUGACUUCUGGAGCCAGCUCUUAAAACGAGAAUGUAAAUUCCACCUUAUUUGCUUGAAUGGUUACUCUGGAGCCCAGAGCUUCCUUGUUAACAGUCUGGUUGGUCCCUGGCCGCUGUGUUCGGAGGAACCCAAACUAGUACAACUCAGGAGGAUUCCAUGGAGAAGUCUUGGGACCAGUGAAGUGAGAUCGAUGCUAGGCCAGUUUCCAGCUGCUCCUGCUCCCUCCACCUCACUUAUUCUGGUUCCAGCCAAUCUGGGACUGCAAUCUCAUGAGAGAUAUUUUAACCAGAAGCAUCCAGUCAAGACUUCCUGAAUGUCUGGCCCACAGAAACUGAGAUGAUAAGAUGAUUGCUGUUGUUUUAAGCCAUCGAGUUUUGAGAUGAACUUGAAAGUAAUUUUCAUUAUGUUGUAAAAUAAUCCUGUUGGAUUUUGAUUGGAAUUGCAUAGAGUUGGUAGUCUAUUUUAAAGAGAAUUGACAUCUUUACAACACCAAGUCUUUCCAUCCAGAAACAAGGUAUGUCUUUAAAUUUAUUUUUACUGGAGUAUAAUUGAGAAAAUUUUGUAUUAGUUUCAAGUGUACAACAGAAUAAUUCAAUAUUUGUAUACAUUGUGAAAUGAUCACCAUAGUAAUGACAUUUGUCACCUUGCAUAGUAAGAAAGUUUCUUUUGUUGUGAUGAGAACUUUUAAGAUCUAUUCUCUUAGCAGCUUUCAGAUGUGCAAUACAGUAUUAUUAAAUAGUCACCAUGUUGUACAUUACAUCCCAUGA
ensembl:lncRNA